rnacentral:ncRNA from 2 species
UGCGCCACCUCGGGGUGCCCGCAAGGGCUGAGAUGCGAUCCUGCGAACCCGUUGAACCUGAACCGGUUAACACCGGCGGAGGGAAGGUCGCGCGGCCUGUC